AGCAAAAAGGGGACGGAGGGGAUUAAGUCGUUUGUGCCACAAACGACUUAAUCCCCUCCGUCCCCUUUUCAGG
rnacentral:antisense_RNA from 1 species